GGAGUGAUGGCUUAAUGGUAAAGCGUACAGUUUAUAUUUCAGGUGUCACCCCCAGAUUCUUGUACCCUGCGGUGCGAGGCGUCGUCGAGGGGCAUCUGAGGCUAAAAACCACCGUGAGAUGCUGGUUCAAGUCCAGUCUACUCCA